rnacentral:rRNA from 1 species
AGCGAACGCUGGCGGUAGGCCUAACACAUGCAAGUCGAACGAGUGGCGGACGGGUGAGGAAUACGUCGGAAUCUACUCUGUCGUGGGGGAUAACGUAGGGAAACUUACGCUAAUGCCGCAUACGAUUGAAUGAGCCGAUGUCGGAUUAGCUAGUUGGCGGGGUAAAGGCCCACCAAGGCGACGAUCCGUAGCUGGUCUGAGAGGAUGAUCAGCCACACUGGAACUGAGACACGGUCCAGACUCCUACGGGAGGCAGCAGUGGGGAAUAUUGGACAAUGGGCGCAAGCCUGAUCCAGCCAUACCGCGUGGGUGAAGAAGGCCUUCGGGUUGUAAAGCCCUUUUGUUGGGAAAGCGGUACCCAAAGAAUAAGCACCGGCUAACUUCGUGCCAGCAGCCGCGGUAAUACGAAGGGUGCAAGCGUUACUCGGAAUUACUGGGCGUAAAGCGUGCGUAGGUGGUCGUUUAAGUCCGUUGUGAAAGCCCUGGGCUCAACCUGGGAACUGCAGUGGAUACUGGGCGACUAGAUGUGGUAGAGGGUAGCGGAAUUCCUGGUGUAGCAGUGAAAUGCGUAGAGAUC